rnacentral:rRNA from 2 species
AUGCCUAACACAUGCAAGUCGAACGAAGGCUUCGGCCUUAGUGGCGCACGGGUGCGUAACGCGUGGGAAUCUGCCCCUUGGUUCGGAAUAACAGUUGGAAACGACUGCUAAUACCGGAUGACGACGUAAGUCCAAAGAUUUAUCGCCGAGGGAUGAGCCCGCGUAGGAUUAGCUAGUUGGUGUGGUAAAGGCGCACCAAGGCGACGAUCCUUAGCUGGUCUGAGAGGAUGAUCAGCCACACUGGGACUGAGACACGGCCCAGACUCC